UACGUAGGGCGCAAGCGUUGUCCGGAAUUAUUGGGCGUAAAGGGCGCGUAGGCGGCCGGGUAAGUCUGACGUGAAAUCCCUCGGCCUAACCGGGGAACUGCGUUUGAUACUGUCCAGCUCGAGUCCGGGAGAGGGUAGUGGAAUUCCCAGUGUAGCGGUGAAAUGCGUAGAUAUUGGGAGGAACACCGGUGGCGAAGGCGGCUACCUGGACCGGUACUGACGCUGAGGCGCGAAAGCUAGGGUAGCAAACAGG
rnacentral:rRNA from 1 species